rnacentral:rRNA from 1 species
GUAGGUGGCAAGCGUUGUCCGGGAAUUAUUGGGCGUAAAGCGCGCGCAGGCGGUCCUUUAAGUCUGAUGUGAAAGCCCACGGGCUCAACCGUGGAGGGUCAUUGGAAACUGGGGGACUUGAGUACAGAAGAGGAAAGCGGAAUUCCAAGUGUAGCGGUGAAAUGCGUAGAGAUUUGGAGGAACACCAGUGGCGAAGGCGGCUCUCUGGUCUGUAACUGACGCUGAGGCGCGAAAGCGUGGGGAGCAAACAGGAUUAGAUACCCUGGUAGUCCACGCCGUAAACGAUGAGUGCUAAGUGUUAGGGGGUUUCCGCCCCUUAGUGCUGCAGCUAACGCAUUAAGCACUCCGCCUGGGGAGUACGGCCGCAAAGGCUGA